rnacentral:rRNA from 1 species
GACGAACGCUGGCGGCGUGCCUAAUACAUGCCAGUAGAACGCUGAAGAGGGGAGCUUGCUCUUCUUGGAUGAGUUGCGAACGGGUGAGUAACGCGUAGGUAACCUGCCUUGUAGCGGGGGAUAACUAUUGGAAACGAUAGCUAAUACCGCAUAACAAUGGAUGACACAUGUCAUUUAUUUGAAAGGGGCAAUUGCUCCACUACAAGAUGGACCUGCGUUGUAUUAGCUAGUAGGUGAGGUAAUGGCUCACCUAGGCGACGAUACAUAGCCGACCUGAGAGGGUGAUCGGCCACACUGGGACUGGGACACGGCCCAGACUCCUACGGGAGGCAGCAGUAGGGAAUCUUCGGCAAAGGGGGCAACCCUGACCGGGCAACGCCGCGUGGGUGAAGAAGGGUUUCGGAUCGUAAAGCUCUGUUGUAAGUCGAGAACGGGUGUGAGAGUGGAAAGUGCACACUGUGACGGUAGCUUACCAGAAAGGGACGGCUAACUACGUG